GAUGUAUUGGAGCUCCAUUGUAUGUUAUUUGUUUCUUUUCUCUUGCUUGCUUUUAGGAUCCUUUCUGUAUCCUUGAUCUUUGGCUGUUUGAUUAUUAAAUGCCUUGAGGUAGCCUUCUUUGGGUUGCACUUCCUUGGUCUUCUAUAAGCUUUUUGUACUUAGAUAUUGAUAUCUUUCUCUGGGUUUGGCAAGUUCUCUGUUUUUAUCCCUUUAAAUAAACUUUCUACCCCCAUCUCUUUCUCUACCUCCGCUUUAAGACCAAUAACUCUUAGAUUUGCUCUUUUGAGGCUAUUUUCUAGAUCCUGUAGAUGUGCUUCAUUGUUUUAUAUUAUUUUGUCUCCUUGGAUUAUGUAUUUUCAAACAGCCUGUCUUCAAGCUCACUAAUUCUUUCUUUUGUUUGAGCUAUUAAAGAACUCUAAUGCAUUCGUCAUUAUGCCAAUUGCAUUUUUCAGCUCCAGAAUUUCUGCUUGAUUGCUUUUAAUUAUUUCAAUCUCUUUGUUAAAUUUAUCUGAUACAAUUCUGAAUUUAUUUGUGUUCUCUUAAAUUUAUUUGAGUUUUUCAAAAAACAGCCAUUUUGAAUUCUCUAUCUGAAAUAUUGUAUAUCUCCAUUUCUCUAGAACUGGUCCCUGUUACCUUCUUUAGUUCAUUUGGUGAGGUUGUGUUUUCUGGAUGCUGUUGAUGCUUGUACAUGUUCUUCAGUUUCUGGGCAUUAAAGAGUUAGAUAUUUAUUGUAGUCUUCACAGUCUGAGCUUGUUUGUGCCUAUCAAACAAGCCUUGGGCAGGCUUUGCAGGUAUUUGAAGGGAUGUGGGCUCAAAGCCAAAUAAUGCUACAGGUUUUGUAGACUCAUAUAAGUAUUGCCUUGAUGGUCUUGGGUAGGAUCUGGAAGAAUUCUCUGGAUUAACAGGCAGAGACCUUUGUUCUUUUCCCUUACUCUCUCCCAAACAUGUGGAUUGUCUCUCUCUGUCCUGAGCCACCUGGAACUGAGGGUGUGUUGAUGCAAGCACCUCUGUGACCACCACUAGGAGGACUGCAGUGCAUCAGAUCUGAAGCCAGUACAGCACUUGCCUUGCCAAAGGCCCUUCCCUUCAUGGUGAAGGAAGAAGGAGCAGAUGUGACAGUUUCUCCAAAUAAGCUUUGGAUCUCAUAAUCUGCGGUUCCUGUUCUGUGGAUCGACUUCAAUGCUCAUGCAGGGUAAUAUCAAGCUUUUAUCACAUCACACUGCUCAGAGAACUGGCACUACAUUGCUCUGGUAAAGAAAAACUGUUUUCUGACUGGACGCCAUGGCUCCUACCUGUAAUUCUAGUACUUUGGGAGGCUGAAGCAGGCAGAUCACUUGAGGUCAGGAGUUUGAGAGCAGCCUGGCUAAUAUGGUGAAACCCUGUUUCUACUGAAAAUACAAAAAUUAGCAAGGCGUGGUGGUGUGCACCUGUAGUGCCAGGUACUGGGGAGGCUGAGGUGGAAGGAUGGCUUGAACCCAGGAGGUGGAGGUUGCAGUCACUCGAGAUCUUGCCACUGCACUCCCGCUUGGGUGACAGAGUGAGACCUUAUCUCAAAAAAAAAAAAAAAAAGGAUAAAAAAGAAAGAAAAACUUUUUUUCUAAUAUGGUCAUUUGAUUUACACACCCCCUCACUGCAGACUAAGGAACAUCCCAUUUGCUGACAUUCUCUACAACAUAUUCAGAAUUUAUCAUUUUGCUAUUAGAUAAAUGUAAAAUGGUUUCCAAUUGGGGUUUCAAUUUACCUUUUCCUUAUUCAUAAGAAAAAGAUUUAAAAACAGACAUUCAAUGUCUUUUUAAAAUUUGAAUGUCUUUUUAAAAUUUGUUGAGUUUGUUAUCUAUUUGUAAUCCUUGUUCUAUGAACUAUAGCUUCUUCUAGCUAGUAUUUUUUAUACAAACAUCUAAUAUGUUUGUUACUAAUAAAGCUAUGCUAUUUUCUUUUGGUUAGUGUUUACAUAUUUUACCCUCUUUUACUUUUACACUCAACUUUUUUCUCUGUCCUUAUGAAUUAGGGUGUGGUUUUACAGAGAACUUGGAUUAAUUUUUCAUUUAUCAGUUUUUUAAGUGGAAUUUUAGUCCAUUUAAUGUAAGUAGAUAUUUGAAGGUCAUAUUUACCAACUUAUUUUUGGCCUUUCAGUUGCCUCACAUGUUCUACUUUUUAUUGCCCUGCUUUUUUACCCCUUCAGGGAUCAAGUGAGUUUUUUUGUUUGUUUGUUUGUUUGUUUGUUUCUAUUUUUCUCCUUUACUAGUUUGGAAUCUUUAUACUCUGUUUCUGCUCUAGUGGUAACAACAGAAAUUACAUUAUGCCUAUUUAACACAUAAUCUAAGUUAAUCAAUAUAUUUCAUGUUCUCCCCAACAUCAGUCUCUCAGAUCACUUUGCUUUUAAAUCUCUCAUCUUAUGAAAUUUUACUGGGUAAUAUAAUUUUAUUUUUUAUAAUCUAAACAUAUAUUAUUACUUUUUAUACAGUCAGCAGCCAAUAGCCAUAGGAUGUACUCACAUAUUUAACAUAUACUUUGCCCUUGAUUACAUCUUUUACUUCUGACUUUUUAACAAAAAUCUUGUUUGCCUCAAUAUACAUAUGCUCCUAUGUAAAAUAUCUGGCUUUCAACAAGUAAUUAUAAGAUUUGCUAAAGAACAAAACAAACAAAAACAAACACAGUCUGAAAAGAUGAAAAAAAAUAUACUAUAACCAGAAUUGAGUAUGAUAUAAAUUUUAAAAAAAGAAAGUUAUUUAAAAGACUGAGAAUUUGAAAUAUCUAUUUUUAGUGUGUUAAAGACCAAUAGUAAAGGUCUGCAAUAUGCCAAAUCAAAUAGAUAAUUUAAUCAAAGAGAUGGAAACUAUAAGAAAGAAUAAAUAGAAACACUAGUUAUAAAAACACAGUAAAAGAAAUGAAGAAGUCUUUUAACAGGCUUGUGUUAGUUCAUUAGCACACUGCCAUAAAUAAAUACCUGAGACUGGGUAAUUUAGAAAGAACAGGGGUUUAAUUGACUCACAGUCGCACAUGGCUGGGGAGGCCUCCAGAAACUUACAAUCAUGGUGGAAGGCAAAGGAGACGCAAAAGCAUGUCUAACAUGGCAGCAGGCGAGAGUGAGUGUGUGUCAAUGCAGAAAAACCUACCAUUUAUAAAACCAUCAGAUUUCCUGAGGACUCACUCACUAUCAUGAGAGCAACAUGGGGGAAACAGCCCCCAUAAUCCAAUCACUUCCCACCAGGUCCCUCUCUAAACACCUCAGAGUUACAAUUCCCAGUAAGAUUUGGAUGGGGAUGUAAAACCUAACCACAUGAAAGCUCAUCAGUAAAUUUGACAAAGCUCAAGAAAUUCAGUAAACCUGAAGAUAUAUCAACAGAUUUACUGAAAUUGAAAUUCAAGAAAAAAAAUGAGUAUAACUGGCCAGGCACAGUGGCUCAUGCCAGUAAUCCCAGCACUUUGGGAGGCCAAGGUGGGUGAAUCACUUGAGGUCAGGAGUUCAAGACUAGCUUGGCCAAUAUGGCAAAACCCUGUCUCUAGUAAAAAUACAAAAACUAGUUGGGCAUGGUGGCACACGCCUGUAAUCCUAACUAUCUGGAGACUGAGGGACAAGCUUCACUUAAACCUGGGAGAUGGAGGUUACAGUGAGCCGAGAUUGUACCACUGCACUCCAGCCUGGGUAACAGAGUGAAACUGUCUCACAAAAAAAAAAAAAAAAAAAAAUGAGUAUAACUAAAGAACAGAACAUUCAAGGGCUAUGAGACAAUAAUAAAUGACAUAAUGUGUGUAAUUAGAAUCUCAGGAAAAAACACACACACACAAACAAUAAAAUGUGAGACAAAUUGACUCACAUUUUAUAUGCCUGAAAACGUCUUUAUUUCUCCACUAUUGAAGGAUAUUUUCUUUAUAUGUAAAUUUCUCUAUAUCUAAGUUUCAUAGCAGUAGGUCUGCUGUGGUUUGAAUAUUUGUCUCCUCUAAAACUCAUGUUGAAAACUAAUCCCCAAUUUUAUAGUAUUGAGAGGUGGAGGCUUUAAGUGGAGAUUGGGUCAUAAGGGCUCUGUUCUCAUGAAUGAAUUAAUGAAUUAAUGGAUUUAUUGGUUAUGGGUUAUCAUGAGAGUGGGUUAGUUAUCAAGAGGCUAGGUAUGUUAUAAAAGUCAGAUUGGCUCUCUUGUGAGUCCCUUUGCUUUGUGAUGCCCUCUCCUGCCCAGGGACUCUGCAGAGAGUCCUAGUUACCAAGAAGGCUCUCACAAGAUGCAGCUUCUAGACCUUGGACUUCCCAGCCUCCAGAAGGAUAAGAUACAAAUUUAUUUUCUUUGUAAAUUACCUAGUCUGUGGUAUUAUGUUAUAGCAACAGAAAAUGGGCUAAGACACCUACCGUACAAAAUGGGUUAAAGUUCUGUUGGCAAGAUCAUUUUUGUAACAUCAGAAUCCUGAAUAUACACAGAGAAAUAAAGAUCAUUUGGAGUGGAAUAAGUGAAUGUCUGAAGGUUAUACAUAAUUUGUGUAUGUUUACAUAUGUGUAUAUACAUAUGUCCAUGUAUAUAUAUAUACUCAUACAUGUAUCUCUACAUAAGUUUAUAUGUAAUAUAUAUAAUAUAAAAUAGUGCUCUUAAAAUAACUAACUUUAAAGAUAAUUUUAAAAAUUACUUAAAGAUAGCUAACUUUAAGGCAAUAACAGUAAUGAUGCCUUGGCUGUUUCUUUCUCUCUCCAUACACACACAGACACACACACUUAUACGAUGUAAUGUAAAAACUUGUUUACUCAGUAUGCAUUCAUAUUUACUAAAGAAGAUGUACUCUCCUUUUCUUGUACCAUUUAUUCAUAAUCUCCAGAAGAUUGGGGGAUGAGUGAAAGCAGAAGAAUCAAAUAACAUUCAAGUACUUGCAUAGGUAGUGUUUCAUUUUAUUUAAUGUGGAUUAUAAUAUUCGUCCUAUACUAUAAACCUGGAGACUAUUCUAGCACCAAGACAUCUUAAUCUUCCUCUGGGACACUCUAAAUUAUUUGUUUGAUUACAUAUAAUUAUGCACUAGUGUAGAUUCUCAGAUAUAAUACUGAGGAGAAUUUGGUUUUCUAUGUCUUGUCAUGUGAUUAAUUUUAUGAAAAAGAGAAUUAUUUUAUAAUGUUAUAAAAGAUAAUGUUAAAACAGGAAAAUGACAAAUUAUUUGGGUAAUGCCAUCCCAAACAUCUAUUUUAAAUCAAAGUUACCUAUAAAGGCUUUUCUAAUGAGAUCAUAAAAAUCUUAAAUGUAAUGUGUGCUAUGUACACGGAAGUGUAACCUAGGUGCAGCAUGCUAUCAAUUUGCAGAAGCAACCCUAAAUAAUAAACUAUAUUUUCAUAUAAAAUCAUAGAAAAAAUUAGUCAAUAAUGGACAAAAUUCCAUUUCUCUGGGUAAUUAUAGUCAUUAUCUUUAUAAAAUAAAACUUCAGAAAAAUUAUCCCUGCCAAAGUUUCUAUUUUUUCUCCACUCCAGUGACUUGCUAAUAACUAACAUUGUUAUAUGCUUUCAUCUAAUUUAAUAAAGAACAUUAAUCAUCUAUUAGUUGGUUCUUUAGCUUAACUUUAUUUGCUCUAAUCCACAAAUAAGACAGCUAGAGCUUGAAGUUGUUAGCAUUGGGAUUCUAUUAGGAUAUAGCAUUUAUCUUGUCCCUUCAUAUUAGUUCAGUUAAUUGCAUUUGAUUUUUUAUUAUUCUACUUAAUGAAAUAUAUACACUAUUAUAUGUAGUGCCAGCCCUAAGCAAAAUAGUUAAGCAAAUUAAUGUGCCUUCACUUUUUCCCUGUAUAUUGCUCUUCCCUUAUAUUUAGGAAGAAACCUAUAGAAAAGUUAUUAAACAAAAUGAUUGAUUAGGUUGGCUUGUCAAGCAUCACUGCAAGUGAAUGGCAUGAGAGUUUGGGACAUUUGAACCUUUUGCAAUGUUGUUGUCUAAAGAGUUUGUACAUGGAGUGAUCACAUGUAUAUAAUAAAUGAAAUAUGCUAACCUAAAUAAUAUGAUUAUAGACAAAACUGGGUGUACACAGUGAACACAUGAGAAUGCAAAAGUAAUGGAAGAAAUCAAUGAUUUCUAUUAUACAUUAUCUAGCAGAGCAUAUUAUAUGAGAAUGAGUUACCCAUUAGUGACAAUAUUAUUAAAAAUAAAUCAUAAACUAUUCUCCUAUGAAUACAUUUAAGUGCAGUUUUAUGUUGUCACAAAAGAACAAACUUGCAGGGGCUAGAAACAUUGCAAAAGUAGGAACUCUAAGAGGUAAUCAAUUAUCAAGACAGUUUCUAUCAGAGAUUCCCUAUGGACCUUAUGUCUUAGUCAGUUUGGGCUGCUAAAACAAAUUACCAUAGACUAGGUGGCAUAAAUGACAAGCAUUAAUUUCUUAGAGUUCUGGAGGCUGAGACAUCCAAGAACAAGGUACCAGCAUAUCCCCUGUCUGUUCAGGGCCCACUUCCUGUCUUAUAGACAGCCACCUACCUACUCACUGUAUCUAUUGGGGGAACCCGCCCCAGAUAUUUCAAUGUAGGUUAUUUCUAUUUUUCGUAAGUGUUGGCUGGCUGAGAAAUAAAGAAAAAGUGUACAAAGAGAGGAAUUUUACAGCUGGGCCUCCAGGGGUGACAUCACAUAUUGGUAGGACCAUGAUACCCACCUGAGCUGCAAAACCAGCAAGUUUUUAUUAAGGAUUUCAAGAGGAGAGGGGGUGUAAGAACAUGGAGUAUGUCACAGAGAUCACAUGCUUCAAAGGGCAAAAGCAGAACAAAGAUCACAUGCUUUUGAGGAAACAGGACAAGGACAAAAUCAGAACUACUGAUAAGGGUCCAACAAAGAUCGCAAGGCAAAGGGCAAAAGCAGAAUUACUGAUAAGGGUCUAUGUUCAGUGGUGCAUGUAUUGUCUUGAUAAACAUCUUAAACAACAGAAAACAGGGUUUGAGAGCAGAGAACCGGUCUGACCACAAAUUUACCAGGAUGGAGUUUCCCAAUCCUAGUAAGCCUGAGGGUACUGCAGGAGACCAGGGCUUAUUUCAGUCCUUAUCUCAACCGCAUAAGACAGACACUCCCAGAGCUGCCAUUUAUAGAUCUCCCCCCCAGAAUGCAUUUCUUCCCCAGGGUAUUAAUUAUUAAUAUUCCUUGCUAGGAAAAGAAUUUAGCAAUAUCUUCCCUACUUGCACAUCUGUUUAUAGGCUCUCUGCAAGAAGAAAAAUAUGGCUCCAUUUUGCCCAACCUCGCAUGCAGUCAGACCUUAUGGUUGUCUUCCCUUUUUCCCUGAAAAUUGCUGUUAUUCUGUUCUUUUUCAAGGUGCACUGAUUUCAUAUUGUUCAAACACACAUGUUUUACAAUCAAUUUGUACAGUUAACACAAAUAUCAUAGUGGUCCUGAGGUGACACACAUCCUCAGUUUACAAAGAUAACAGGAUUAAGAGAUUAAAGUAAGACAGGUGUAAGAAAUUAUAAGAGUAUUAUUUGGGAACUGAUAAAUGUCCAUGAAAUCUUCACAAUUUAUGUUUCUCUGCCUUGGCUCCAGCUGGUCCCUCCAUUUGGAGUCCCUGACUUCCCACAACAUGUAUCUUUACAUGGCUGAGAGAGAGAUCAUCUU
rnacentral:lncRNA from 1 species